rnacentral:misc_RNA from 1 species
CCUUCCUCUUCUCAUCCAAUGCCUGUUCCAUAGGGCAUAUGCACAUAGUAAGGUCAAAACAUACCAUGAUUAACUCACAUAAAAAUAUGAGCAAAAUAAAAAUGUUUUGCCUGUGCAUACUGCAUAGGUGCAUGUUCAUGCAUUUGUUAUGUUGGAUAAAACAGAUUAUUAGAAAAUGAAAAAUAAAAUAAAAAAUAACACAUAAUUUAGGUAAAAGGAACCAGAGUCCGCAUGUAGCCAAUUUCUCAUAAUCUUUGGAACCUCAAUGGUAGAAUGUUGAUGCAUUUGUGUUUCAGAGAGCAAACAGACUUAUCAUGAAUUAAUAUCAUUUGCCUUUGCCACUAAGUGAAAAGUUGUCAAACAUCAGGAAUUACCUAAAAAUGAAUAAGCAUUCUAAUAUACGUGAUAAGCAGGGAACCACAAAUGCUGGUAUUCUGUGAAAUGUCUCCGUGGACUAACUUGGUAUCAUUUAGUGAAGCUAAAAUCAUGCAUCUUAGAGCUGAGUUUCAUUCGUACUUCAUAUAGGUUCCUUUCUUGUAGUCAUAAUCAUCAAAAUAUUCUAUGUAUCUAAACAAAUAAGGUGACAUCAAAAAGUCGACAUGCAAACAAAACAACUAUGUAAGCACAUACAGAACAUGGCACAUUCUUCAAGUAGAAUUUGACAAGAUCCAAAAAGAAAAGUACCUUGCUUUGGAACAUUCUCAUUGUCAACACAAGAGUAUCACGUGUCCUAACAUCAUAUGUAUUG